GAAGUAAAAGUCGUAACAAGGUCUCCGUAGGUGAACCUGCGGAGGGAUCAUUACACAAAUAUGAAGGCGGGCUGGAACCUCUCGGGGUUACAGCCUUGCUGAAUUAUUCACCCUUGUCUUUUGCGUACUUCUUGUUUCCUUGGUGGGUUCGCCCACCACUAGGACAAACAUAAACCUUUUGUAAUUGCAAUCAGCGUCAGUAACAAAUUAAUAAUUACAACUUUCAACAACGGAUCUCUUGGUUCUGGCAUCGAUGAAGAACGCAGCGAAAUGCGAUAAGUAGUGUGAAUUGCAGAAUUCAGUGAAUCAUCGAAUCUUUGAACGCACAUUGCGCCCUUUGGUAUUCCAAAGGGCAUGCCUGUUCGAGCGUCAUUUGUACCCUCAAGCUUUGCUUGGUGUUGGGCGUCUUGUCUCUAGCUUUGCUGGAGACUCGCCUUAAAGUAAUUGGCAGCCGGCCUACUGGUUUCGGAGCGCAGCACAAGUCGCACUCUCUAUCAGCAAAGGUCUAGCAUCCAUUAAGCCUUUUUUUCAACUUUUGACCUCGGAUCAGGUAGGGAUACCCGCUGAACUUAAGCAUA
rnacentral:rRNA from 1 species